ACGGCCAUACCAUGCUGAAAACACCGGUUCUCGUCCGAUCACCGAAGUUAAGCAUCUUCGGGCGCGGUCAGUACUUGGAAGGGUGA